ACGCUCGACACCUACGAGAGGCAGCAGUGAGGAAUAUUGGUCAAUGGGCGCUAGCCUGAACCAGCCAAGUAGCGUGAAGGAUGAAGGCUCUAUGGGUCGUAAACUUCUUUUANAUAAGAAUAAAGUGCAGUAUGUAUACUGUUUUGUAUGUAUUAUAUGAAUAAGGAUCGGCUAACUCCGUGCCAACAGCCGCGGUAAUCUGAGCGGGCUGGCAAGGC
rnacentral:rRNA from 1 species